GUCCUUUAGUUAAGAAUAAUUUAAGGUCUAACCUGCCCAUUGAUUAAAUUAAAAGGCCGCAGUAAUUUGACUGUGCAAAGGUAGCAUAAUCAUUAGUUUUUUAAUUAAAAGCUUGUAUGAAUGGUUGGACGAGAUAAAAUCUGUCUCUUUAUAAAAAAUAGAAUUUAAUUUUUAAGUUAAAAAGCUUAAAUUUAAAUAAAAGACGAGAAGACCCUAUAGAUCUUUAUAUAAUUUUUUUUAGUAUUAAUAAAGAAGAUUUUAUUUAUUAAUUAAUUUUAUAUUUUAUUGGGGUAAUAAAAAGAUUAAAUAAAUUCUUUAAAAUUUAACAAAAAUUAUUGAUUAUAUGAUCCAUUAUUAAUGAUUAUAAGAUUAAGUUACCUUAGGGAUAACAGCGUAAUUUUUUUAAAGAGUUCUUAUCAAUAAAAAAGUUUGCGACCUCGAUGUUGGAUUAAAAGUAAUUUUGGGUGCAGAAGUUCAAAAUUUUGGUCUGUUCGACCAUUAAAU
rnacentral:rRNA from 1 species